rnacentral:rRNA from 1 species
GAUGAACGCUGGCGGCGUGCCUAAUACAUGCAAGUCGAGCGAACAGGCGAGGAGCUUGCUCCUCUGACGUUAGCGGCGGACGGGUGAGUAACACGUGGAUAACCUACCUAUAAGACUGGGAUAACUUCGGGAGACCGGAGCUAAUACCGGAUAAUAUAUUGAACCGCAUGGUUCAAUAGUGAAAGACGGUUUUGCUGUCACUUAUAGAUGGAUCCGCGCCGCAUUAGCUAGUUGGUAAGGUAACGGCUUACCAAGGCAACGAUGCGUAGCCGACCUGAGAGGGUGAUCGGCCACACUGGAACUGAGACACGGUCCAGACUCCUACGGGAGGCAGCAGUAGGGAAUCUUCCGCAAUGGGCGAAAGCUUGACGGAGCAACGCCGCGUGAGUGAUGAAGGUCUUCGGAUCGUAAAACUCUGUUAUUAGGGAAGAACAAAUGUGUAAGUAACUAUGCACGUCUUGACGGUACCUAAUCAGAAAGCCACGGCUAACUACGUG